UAAAGUCUGGCUGGAGAGAGGGGCAAGGGGCUGGGGAGCCAGGAAUCCCAGGGGUUUGUGGGGACAAACCAGCCACCCUCUCCUCCUGGGGCUUUUAGCUCUGAUGGAACAUGGGAUCCAACCUUUCCUGAGGACCUACUCCACACCAGGCCCUUUGCAGUGCUCUCAUUGAAUACUCACAGCUACAGUGUGAGGGUGUAAUUACAUCCCCAGUUUACAGAUGAGGAAACUGAGGCCCCGAGUGUGUCUUCCUCAAGGCCACAUGGUGAAUGGUGAGUGGCAGAUCCUUCGCACCCCUGCCGACCCUCGUGGGUGCAGGAGAGGUGAUGAGACCCACCCUUUCAAUUGUACCACCCUGCUCAGGUUGAGAAGAGCUUUCAGUGCAGGAACAGUCCCUACCAGCCUGGAAAACAGACCAGCCUCUGUCACUCCACAGAGAUAACCCACUCUCAUCUUGCUUGUACCUGGCUUCAGGGAUCUUGGGGAGAGAUAAGAGGUUAAAAAGCUCCACCCAGAGAGGGAGUGCAAACAAGCGCCCCAAGAACUGUGUCUGGUUGUUUAUUGAAUGCAAACUCAUUCAUAGAAAACGGAAAUGCAACCAUAGCAUGGAGAUGCUCUGAGAAAAGAUCCAGACCCACCUCAUCUCCCAGCCCUUCAAGCAGAGCUAUAAAAACAAGUUUGGGAGAAAAACACAUUCCCAUCACCAAGGCAGAGGCCCCGCCUGAGCUCCCCCAUCCUCGGCAUCUGGAGUGGACCAG